AGCUGAGACACUCAUCUUCUCCUGCCCUGGCACAUCAAAACUCCAGGUUCUCUGAUCUUUGAACACUGGGACUUAAUCCAGCAUCCCCUUACUGCCUGAAGUUCUCAGGACUUUGGACUUGGACUGAACGAUGCUACCAGCUUCCCUGGCUUUCCAGCUUGUAGAUGGCGUAUCAUGGAAUUUCUCAGUCUCCAAAGUAAUGAACAAGCAACCAAGAACCACAAAAAUCACUGGCCACUGACAAAUGACACUUCAAGAGGAAUACAGGCUUAAUAGCUGCGAACACAGGAAGUGAGGAGCGUCUCUGCCCGGCCGCCCAUCGUCUGAGAUGUGGGGAGCACCUCUGCCCCGCCGCCCUGUCUGGGAUGUGAGGAGCGCCUCUGCUGGGCCGCAGCCCUGUCUGGGAGGUGGGGAGCGUCUCUGCCCGGCCGCUCCGUCUGAGAAGUGAGGAAACCCUCUGCCUGGCAACCGCCCCGUCUGAGAAGUGAGGAGCCCCUCCGUCCGGCAACCACCCCGUCUGGGAAGUGAGGAGCGUCUCCGCCCAGCAGCCACCCCGUCCGGGAGGGAGGUGGGGGGGG
rnacentral:lncRNA from 10 species